GAUAGUAUUAUAAUAAGGCAUCUUGUUAGUAAUUAAAGCUAUGGCGGAUAAGGAUGAGCGUGCGCAAGAUUAGCUAGUUGGUGAGGUAACGGCUCACCAAGGCGACGAUCUUUAGCUGAUGUGAGAGCAUGAUCAGCCACACGGGCACUGAGACACGGGCCCGACUCCUACGGGAGGCAGCAGUGAGGAAUAUUAGUCAAUGGACGGAAGUCUGAACCAGCCAUGCCGCGUGAAGGAUGAAGGCGUUCUGCGUUGUAAACUUCUUUUAUUUAGGAAGAAACCACCGAUUUCUAUUGGUGUUGACGGUAUUAAAUGAAUAAGCACCGGCUAACUCCGUG
rnacentral:rRNA from 1 species